AAGAGAGAUAUUACCUUAAAAAUUACAACAAAAAGAUGAUGAGAAUAUAUAUAUUACACUUCAAACUCAUCUUUAGUUCUUACUAAGGAGUAUACCCCUAAAAAAGACUUAUAAAUAUAGUUAAUUUGUCCAAAAGAAGGUCACGCCAUAGGAGAUUUACAACAUAAAGAAUGGCCAAAUUUAUUUACAAAAUUCAUACAACAAAUUUAUUUAAGUACCACAUAAAAAUACAAUAUUAUAUCCUCCAAACAUUUACGUUGUCGUUAGUUUGGUGGGUCUUCUUUUGAUUUUGUUUCCUUGGAAUUGAGUUCUGCAUCCCUAUAAAAUAAAACAAUGCACCAAAAAAUGCAAGACAAAUAUAUCAGAAGAUAUGGGACUGCCAAAAAUAAAUAGCAAGACCCCAAGACCUUUGAGCAUAUGUAUGACAUUUGAGCAGAGGAUCAUUAACUGAGAUGCAAAUCAAUCACAAAUCAAUACUAAUAUAUAAAGGAAGUAAGAAUGAUCCAAAACUCACCUCUCAAUUGCAAAAUUCAAUGAGUCAACUCUUAAUUAAUUAAGAGUUAACUUGCUCAAUUGGAAAACUCACGUGUGUGCAGCUGACAAAAGAAAUUAAUAACAAUGGAGCCAUAUUCCUUGACAAUCUACACUUAGUAACAGUAUCAAUCAAAAUCAAAUAGUCUAGUGAAUCCAUUUCUCAAUUCAUUCAUUCAUAAUGAUCAAAUAAAUGAAUAGACUUGCCUUUUUGUAUGCAUUUGGCAUUGUCUACAAUGCCCUUACUCUGCUCUCUGCCAACUGAGCUUUACCGUUAAGGAAAAGGCAAAAAACCCAGCUUUUAUGAUAUAUGAUAGUUUUGGCUUUUUGGCAUCAAAGAGAAAAAAGAAAAAAAAUAAUAAUAAUACUUUCAAGCCCAUGUGAAAGGUCUAUAUAUAAUUAUAUAUACAUGUAUUGUUUUUAAUAAUUUUUUGAGUUGAUGUAACUAUAUAUUUCUAAAGACAACCCAAUNNNNNNNNNNNNNNNN
rnacentral:lncRNA from 1 species